rnacentral:lncRNA from 1 species
CUUACAGAAGCCAUUAUUUCGGGGUCUCUUUAAAAAUCCAGUGCCCAUCUCUCUGCUUCCCUCCCUUCCUCCCUCCCUCCCUCCUCACUACACCACCCCCAGCGAAAUCCUGGCACCCAGAGAGCACUCUUUUCAGCCAGAGCCCAGAACCAGCCGUUGUCCCCUGGCAAAAGAGGCCCAGUGCUGGGCCCUGGGCAAGUGUCUCCAGACAUCCCUACCUUUCUUUAUUAGUCUUCUUUCCCAACAGAAGCUAUUUCCUUUUGCCACUAAAACUACGUUGCAUCCAAAAGUUUCUCACAAGCUUAGAAAAGAAAAAUGAAAAACUGACACCAUUAUACAGAAGAAUUCACAAAAGCUGCAGAACACCAGGGCAGAGAAGCAGCAGCGUCAGACACAGCGAACCCCGCUGGGUUUGAGGAGCACCUAUAUUUGGAAGAGCCCCAUCAGGGAUAUUCUUGGAAGAUCUGAGGAGAUGAAGUCACUUGUCCUGUGGCUGGGUGACUGCCGCAUUUGAUUUACUAAGACCAGC